GUCGAGCGGUAAGGCCUUUCGGGGUACACGAGCGGCGAACGGGUGAGUAACGCGUGGGUGAUCUGCCCUGCACUCUGGGAUAAGCCCGGGAAACUGGGUCUAAUACCGGAUAUGACCGCAUGCUGCAUGGUGUGUGGUGGAAAGAUUUAUCGGUGCAGGAUGGGCCCGCGGCCUAUCAGCUUGUUGGUGGGGUAAUGGCCUACCAAGGCGACGACGGGUAGCCGACCUGAGAGGGUGACCGGCCACACUGGGACUGAGACACGGCCCAGACUCCUACGGGAGGCAGCAGUGGGGAAUAUUGCACAAUGGGCGGAAGCCUGAUGCAGCGACGCCGCGUGAGGGAUGAAGGCCUUCGGGUUGUAAACCUCUUUCAGCAGGGACGAAGCGUGAGUGACGGUACCUGCAGAAGAAGCACCGGCUAACUACGUGCCAGCAGCCGCGGUAAUACGUAGGGUGCGAGCGUUGUCCGGAAUUACUGGGCGUAAAGAGUUCGUAGGCGGUUUGUCGCGUCGUUUGUGAAAACCCGGGGCUCAACUUCGGGCUUGCAGGCGAUACGGGCAGACUUGAGUGUUUCAGGGGAGACUGGAAUUCCUGGUGUAGCGGUGAAAUGCGCAGAUAUCAGGAGGAACACCGGUGGCGAAGGCGGGUCUCUGGGAAACAACUGACGCUGAGGAACGAAAGCGUGGGUAGCAAACAGGAUUAGAUACCCUGGUAGUCCACGCCGUAAACGGUGGGCGCUAGGUGUGGGUUCCUUCCACGGGAUCUGUGCCGU
rnacentral:rRNA from 1 species